rnacentral:misc_RNA from 1 species
GAUGAAGAACGCAGCGAAAUGCGAUACUUGGUGUGAAUUGCAGAAUCCCGUGAACCAUCGAGUCUUUGAACGCAAGUUGCGCCCGAAGCCAUUAGGCCGAGGGCACGCCUGCCUGGGCGUCACACGUCGUUGCCCCCCCAUCUACUCCUUCGGGAUUGCGGGGGGCGGAUGAUGGCCUCCCGUGCGCCUCGCCGCGCGGUUGGCAUAAAUGCCAAGUCCUCGGCGACGCACGCCACGACAAUCGGUGGUUGCGAAACCUCGGUUGCCCGUCGUGUGCGGUCGUCGCGCAUCGAGGGCUCGAAAAAAUUGCCGGGUUCCGGCUCGGCUUUCAACGCGACCCCAGGUCAGGCGGGGCUACCCGCUGAGUUUAAGCAUAUCAAUAAGCGGAGGA